CCCUGGGAUGUUUGCAUGUUUGGUACGUCCCUGAGCCGAUAAGCAAACCUUUAGGAACCUCCUUUGGUAUUGUUGUGCAUGUCCGCCAGACGGGAAGCCUGAUAUAUCAAUUGAGUCUCCGCCUUGAACCCAAUGGUUCAAGGACAACAUCGGACAGCGGCAUUCCCGGGGCU
rnacentral:other from 1 species